UUCGCGUCCUGCGUCCUUCGCGCGACUUGGGUAACACGACGACCUGGGAUUCUUGUGGGCUGAUGAUCAAAGCUCUUUUUUUUUUGGUCCAGUUACCAUUGAUUGCUCGUUUCUUCUUCUGCAUUCUAUUCGUUUUUGCUUCGAUUAUCCAAGCGAAGAAGCCUAGCAUCGUCCUUACGUUGCGAACCUUUCGAUGUCUAUCUGGUCGGCAUUGAAAUACGGAUGUCUUGUUGUUCGAAUUCGCGAUCAAGUCUGUUUUUUUGUUUUUUGGGCACUUUCCAAGAUUGCGAAUGAUUGAUUGAGGUUGGCUUAUCUUCUUGGUUCUUCUUAAUUGACUUCCCCGAGCAGUGUUAUCUCGGAGGUGAGGCUGUCCUGGACAUGGGUUUUGCUCUUUUUUAGCUCGUGGGUGAUGAGGAACUGAGCUUGUCUAAGUCUGGCUCGUGUGUGAAAUAUGGAACUUUUGUCUGUGGGAAAGAAUGCUUCAGACUAAGUAUAGCCUAGCCAAUCUGUAGUUAUGAACAUUAUGGUUGGUGUUCAUCGGGCAAUGUUCUGCAGCUGCUCGAAUGCCGUGGAGGGUUCUGAAUUAUGAUAAUCUGGUGUGGAGAGCUUAGACUCUUGAGGGAGGAUUUGAACACGUCGAGUACUGCCAAGUAUUGCAGAGUCUAGCAAGAUAGUCUAUGUUAAGUAGUUCGCGGACUUGCACUUCUUUUGGUGAUCGAAUGGGAUAAUGGCUUACAGGAAGUCGGUGGUGGGUGUAACAUUGAGUUAGCUAUGAUGAUUCUAAUUCUUGUAUUCUUAAUGGCAUUGGUUGCUAAUCAGUACAUGCGCCAGCUCUGACUUUGAAUUAGGAGAUUGAGUGGCUAAUAAAGAAAAGAACCAUAUAAUGGGAAAUGAAGGGGUGAAUGCUGCUUAUUUGUCUCCUCAGAUGGAUUUUGUCCAUGUCUGUACUUGCCAUGAGGUCAUGCUGUUGAUUGAUUAAGAUCUGUCCACGAUUUUUAUCUACCUCUAAGGCUGAGUUUGCCAAUGUUAAGUCAUCUUUCUUUCUUGCUUGAUAUGGCAACAAAUGGUUGUGAUUUUCGUAUUUGCCUUCAAGAACUUAGUCAAAUCCUAGGCGCAUUUCUUAUCUAGUUUAAUGUGCCUGAUAUCCGCCCAAUCCUAUUUAGCAACAGUCACUAAUUGCCAGAUAGGAUAUAGAAUAUCUUAUAAAUGGGCGACCCAACAUGACCAUUAGGAUUGACUAUCCCUUUUGUCAAAGUACCUCAAUAGUCAAGUCAUCUAGAAGGAUAUAUUGAGGGAACCAUUUGGGCCCUUUAGGCAUUACUUCUUUCGAACAUUUCUCAAUUGCAGUACUCCUACCUGAAUUGCUAGUUUUCAUUUCUUCUUGAUGCUAAUCAUAAUUAUGUGUUGAAGGAAUCACAGUGGCAAGCCAAGUGAAGCCAGGUAAAAGCAUUUCUCUUUGAUCAUAUUGGUAGAGAUAUUAGCGAUGAAAAGUCAAUACCUGCUAGAUAAAAAUAUUCAAAUGCUUUAAGCCAAACUCGAUUAAUGUUGGAGUUAUCUUACAUGGCUGGGUAGGCUUUGAUAAAGGAGGUAGAGAGGUGUGUGUCAGGUAGCUGACAAUGGGCACUCCUUAUUCUACAGUUGAAUCUCUAUGAACCAAGUCCUACUGCAAUAUUGUGCAAAAACUAGGUCGUUGCUUAGAAAUGACGCACUGUGUGGCCCGGGUAUAUACUGGCUAAGAAAGAGAAUAAGAAAGCUGUGAGAGGAACGAAUCUGGCAACAAUCAAUGAUGUUUAUAAUCUUUUGAACACCAAAGAAGAAGAAAAGUAUAUGCACAAGUUGGCUAGAGCAAGAAAAAGGACGAGAUCUAAAUAGGCUGAGAUGAGUUAAGGACGAGGAUGAAAAGUCAUAGUCUUAGAAGAAGCAGUUAAAAACAAAUGGAGUAUUUUCAUAAGCUCUUUAAUGGAAUGUUACAAGAGAAGUACUUCACCGGGGGGAACUACAUAAUUUGCAAGAGUGUAGAAACUCCUUCUAUUGACAAAUAAGGAAAUGGGAAGUUUCUAGAGCUUUGAUAAAGAUAAAGAAUGGGCAAGCGGUAGACCCAUGGUUUUACCCAUUGAAGGGUGGAUGGUUAAAGGACUGUGCCAGGGAUGAAUGGACUAGCUAAUGAGCCACAUCAAUGAAGCUGGGGGAGAGAAUUAUCAAGAACGUCAGUGGAGGUAACAGGCAUGUAUUUUUAACACAAUCAAGUGGGUUUUAUCCCAGAGAAAUAUUUUAGAGGAUUCUUGGAAAGAAAGGAGUACAUAUUACUUAUAUAGAAGCGAUAAAGUAUAUGUAUGAUGGUGCCGGUACCACCACUUAGGCCAUGGACAAGAAAUGCAAAAUUUUCCUGGAACCAUAAGGUGGGGACUGCCCCCUCUCCCAAGAGUCCCUAAGAUAUUUUCUCCAAAUAUGGGCUCAUGAAAGCUAAAUGGGCUGUAAAUCUUGGAAGUCUUGAACUGUUGCCUUAACACCUACUAAUAUAUUUUCUUGAACAUUAUACCUGUACCGCAAUAUGGAAUAAGUAUGUGCUGAUUUGUCUUUUAUAAUCUCCUUGUGUUACCACCACCACAUUGGAUCAGUGAUAUUAGAGCUACAACACCCGACAAGUGGUACCAUAACUGGUAUCAUUAGCUUUAUACAACGAGACUUUAUUAGUAUGCAGUCUCGAUGUUAUCUUGUGUUGAUUACUGGUUUUGCAGGCUUUUCAAACAGGGUUUUAUCCACCUGUGAAACUUCCUUUUCAUCGUUUUCCUGGGCUGAUCUCUUGCGAGGUUGUUUCUCUAUGUUAGAAUAUUACUAUUUUGUCAUCUCUAGUUAAAAUUAGACAGCUCAUUCUUGAACUGUUUGAUCACCAUAGGGAACCAUUUUGAAUCUUCAGUAAUACUGCUGAGCAUUCAUAGUGAAUUCCAUAGAAGCAACAAUUCUUUGCUUAUAUGAAAUGUUAAGUUUGCGCAAUGUUAAUAA